rnacentral:rRNA from 1 species
UUCCGCAAAUGGGNGAAAGCCUGAAAGGAGCAAUGCCGCGUGGAGGUAGAAGGCCCACGGGUCGUGAACUUAUUUUCCCCGGAGAAGAAGCAAUGACGGUAUCUGGGGAAUAAAGCAUACGGCUAACUCUGUGCCCAGCAGCCGCGGUAAUACAGAGGAUGCAAGCGUUAUCCGGAAUGAUUGGGCGGUAAAGCGUCUGUAGGUGGCUUUUUAAGUCCGCCGUCAAAUCCCAGGGCUCAACCCUGGCACAGGCGGUGGAAAAAUACCAAGUCUGGAGUACGGUAGGGGCAGAGGGAAUUUCCGGUGGAGCGGUGAAAUGCGUAGAGAUCGGAAAGAACACCAACGGCGAAAGCACUCUGUCUGGGCCGAACACUGACACUGAGAGACGUAAAGUCUAGGGGAGCGAAUGCGCCAUUAGAUACCCCAGUAGUCCUAGCCGUAAACGAUGGUAUACUAGGUCGUCUGUUGUCGUAUCGACCCGUGUCAGUGUCUGUAGUCUAACGUCGUUUAAGUAUCCCGUCCUGGGGAAGUUACGUUCGUCCAAGAAUGAAACUCAAAGGAAUUG